GAAAGCGUGGGUAGCGANCAGGAUUAGAUACCCUGGUAGUNCACGCCGUAAACGAUGAGUGCUAGGUGUUAGNUCCUUUCCGGGACUUAGUGCCGCAGCUAACGCAAUAAGCACUCCGCCUGGGGAGUACGACCGCAAGGUUGAAACUCAAAGGAAUUGACGGGGGCCCGCACAAGCGGUGGAGCAUGUGGUUUAAUUCGAAGCAACGCGAAGANCCUUACCAGGUCUUGACAUCCCGAUGCCCGCUCUAGAGAUAGAGUUUUUCUUCGGAACAUCGGAGACAGGUGGUGCAUGGUUGUCGUCAGCUCGUGUCGUGAGAUGUUGGGUUAAGUCCCGCAACGAGCGCAACCCUUAUUGUUAGUUGCCAUCAUUGAGUUGGGCACUCUAGCGAGACUGCCGGUAAUAAACCGGAGGAAGGUGGGGAUGACGUCAAAUCAUCAUGCCCCUUAUGACCUGGGCUACACACGUGCUACAAUGGUUGGUACAACGAGUCGCAAGCCGGUGACGGCAAGCUAAUCUCUGAAAGCCAAUCUCAGUUCGGAUUGUAGGCUGCAACUCGCCUACAUGAAGUCGGAAUCGCUAGUAAUCGCGGAUCAGCACGCCGCGGUGAAUACGUUCCCGGGCCUUGUACACACCGCCCGUCACACCACGAGAGUUUGUAACACCCAAAGUCGGUGAGGUAACCAUAU
rnacentral:rRNA from 1 species